GGGAGAGAAGGCUGAGAGAAGCAGAGGCAACUGAGGCCUGAACUAGCAGCAUGUUGGAAAGAGUUGAGGAGGGCCUGGACAAGGACUGUGUUAAUGGAAAGAAGAGAAAUUAAGGGAGAGAUGAAGGGCUAGCAUCCAUGUGGUACAGACAUCAAAAUAAAACAGAAGAAGAAGUAAAGGAGGAAGAGAAAAAGAAGCAAGUAAAGGAAGGAGUGGAAGAAAAGAUAGAGAAGGAAGAGUUUAAAAAAGAAUUUGAAGGAAAGACAAAGGAGAAAGGGUUAGAAGAGGAGGAAAAAGAAGAGGAGGAGGGGAAGGAGGAGAAAGUGGGUGAGCAGGGAAAGGAGGGGAAAGAAAAAAAUCUGAAAGAGAAAAAAGAGGGAAAAGAGAACCAAAAAGAGAAGAUAAAAAUAAAAAAGGAGGAGAAAGAAGAAGAGAAAGGAGUAGAUGAUGAGAAAGUGGAGGAGAAACAAGAGGAAGAGGAAGAAGAAAAACAUUUUCUCCCCCUUUUCCUGUGUGGGGGAACAUUUUGAAAAGAACAAAGUUUGUCUUGGGUACCCUCAUUUCUUUGUCUCCAUGCCUCUAUUCUAUCUCUUAGCAUCCUAUUCCAACAAUUUCUCAUCAUACUGCAGCACACCUACAUUGGAUGUUUUGCAGUAAAAUUCAAGGUAAGGUCAAGGUCACAGAGACAAAUGAGGAAGUUUCUCCUGCAGCAAUGAAGUCCAUCAGCUGGUGCGGAUCAUCACACUCCAUUUACCACUGUACCCCUUUCCCUGCUAUUAGCAACAACAAUCCCCUUUUAAGAUCUGUUAACUUGAUUAAAAAGGGCUUGAUCAAGAGCCCUCCACCUAGAAAA